AAAACAUGAAAUAAAACUCUCCAUUAAGGUAACAUCCUUCGAGCUGGUAUUCUUAAAAACAUGCAUAUAAAACCCGCAUCGUAAUUAGGCCGUAAUUAGCCUAAGCUGCCAAGGACCCCCACGAGAGGGCAGACAGAAAUUAGAAAAAGAAACCAGAAAAGCAAAGGGGAAAGGAAGAUCGUCUUCCUCCUCAAGUUAUCCAGAUCAUCUGUAUUCCCAGUAAUCUCGCUCACGGUGGUAUCAGAUUCAGUUGUUCCUCGGCGUGCGUCCGUUGUCUCAAUCACGAUUCCGUCGGCUUGAGCGGAAAAAGGGAUUAAGUUGGAGA
rnacentral:lncRNA from 1 species